GUAUGAGGCAUUGGACCAACAUUUCAAAUGGCUUUUGCAAUUUUGAAUCAGCCCAUAUUUUUGCAGAUGGGGUGACAGCAUGCGUGUCUUGACAUACACCAGCCCAUGUCCAGCCGACCAUCCAAAAUCAGAUGAAUAUUUUUCAGACCCGGGACUAGCGGCAUAUGCCGUACCAUAUAGUAAAGCUGUCUUCUGAAGUGAUGCAGCGAAGGAUUACUUGCUGAAAGAAAUUGAGAUAUUGAGGACAAAGAAUCAUUGGAAGAAGGCU